AUUGAACGCUGGCGGAAUGCUUGACACAUGCAAGUCGUGUGGCAGCGCGGGGGCAACCUUGGCGGCGAGUGGCGAACGGGUGAGUAAUGCAUCGGAACGUACCCUUUUGAGGGGGAUAACCAGCCGAAAGGUUGGCUAAUACCGCAUAAGACCUGAGGGUGAAAGCGGGGGACCCGCAAGGGCCUCGCGCGAAAGGAGCGGCCGAUGCCGGAUUAGCUGGUUGGUGAGGUAAAGGCUCACCAAGGCGACGAUCCGUAGCGGGUAUGAGAGUAUGGCCCGCCACACUGGAACUGAGACACGGUCCAGACUCCUACGGGAGGCAGCAGUGGGGAAUUUUGGACAAUGGGGGCAACCCUGAUCCAGCCAUUCCGCGUGAGUGAAGAAGGCCUUCGGGUUGUAAAGCUCUUUCGGCAGGGAAGAAAUGGGGUAGGUGAACAGCUUGCCUUGAUGACGGUACCUGAAGAAGAAGCACCGGCUAACUACGUGCCAGCCGCCGC
rnacentral:rRNA from 1 species